GGUGAGGUGUCCGAGUGGCUGAAGGAGCACGCCUGGAAAGUGUGUAUACGGCAACGUAUCGAGGGUUCGAAUCCCUUCCUCACCGCCA
rnacentral:tRNA from 1 species